CUUGCUCUCUGGGAUGCCAGUCAAUGCCUCCAGAUGGAAAACAAGGUGAUAGAGUGGAAGUUGUCCAGAGCCUGCUGCCAUGUAUGUGGUGAUCAUGCUUACAUCAUUCAGCUUCAACACAAAACCUUCUCAGGUCCCUUUACCCCUAAUUCCAUCCACCUGCUCCAUAAGAAUUGCAACAAAGACCAUGGUUUUUUGCUUUAGCCCAACUGGAUUCAAAUAUCCUUUCCACAGGGUGUUAGCUGUGUAAUCUAGGCCAUGUAAUAAUUGCUUCAGUUUCUUCUUUGAAAGCUGAAGGUACUAAUAACUACUCUGGAAGAAAAUUAGGAGGUAGAAAAAUGUACACCACUUAACUUAGUACCUAGUACUCAAAAUGUAGUUACUACUGUUAUUGUGUAAUUACUUCAUAAUUGUUUCAUCUUUCACUUUAGUACUUUAAGUGCAUAUCCUUUACCUACUUUAACCUCAGCAAAAACAAAACAAAACAAAACAAAACCUUCUGAUUCUUAACUGCAGAUAAUGUUCUGACCCACACCACUCUCCAAUUAUAGAAUUCCUUCCUUUCCAUCUUCUCUUUCAUUGAUAAACGCCUGAAGGUUUGCUCACUGCACCCACAGCACUCAUGGCCUCAUCUCCAAGUGUGUUUCUUCAUUUUUCCAUUGUCUUGUGCUUAGUCACGGCUUUCUAAUGCCUGGAUUCACAGGGCCUUUUCUCUGAUCACAUCCUACUUUGCUACCCUGCAACAUUGACCACAUGUCUUAAAAUCAUCCUUUCCCAAGUUUCCUGAGAGUGUAUCCUGAUUCUUCCCCUACUCUCAGCAAGCUUUGUCAUUUUCUUUUGUUAGAUACUUUCCUUAUAAUGUGUGUCCCCUGGAAGCAUCAUCCUCCUGGCUCCUCCCAUGCUGUGGUCUCUGUGAGCUAAUCACUGUUGACAAGGCUUCUCUUUCUCGGACUUGAAAAUAUCCCCCAGCAUACUUCUUUUAUUUGCUUGGUUUGACCAUCUUGUAAGCUGUUGGCAAUCACUACCUAACUAGACAACCCAAAAUCAUAGGUACAACCUAAUAUCAUUCAUCAAAGGAUUUCCUGUGUAACCCAAUUGAAUAAAGAAAUUUUUAAAAAGGGGGAAAACA
rnacentral:lncRNA from 1 species